rnacentral:rRNA from 1 species
UACAGAGGGGGCAAGCGUUGUUCGGAAUUACUGGGCGUAAAGGGCGCGUAGGCGGCCUUCUAAGUCGAACGUGAAAUCCCCGGGCUCAACCCGGGAACUGCGUCCGAUACUGGAAGGCUUGAAUCCGGGAGAGGGAUGCGGAAUUCCAGGUGUAGCGGUGGAAAUGCGUAGAUAUCUGGAGGAACACCAGUGGCGAAGGCGGCUCACUGGCCCGAUACUGACGCUGAGGCACGAAAGCGUGGGGAGCAAACAGGG